rnacentral:rRNA from 1 species
AUUGAACGCUGGCGGCAGGCCUAACACAUGCAAGUCGAGCGGAUGAGUGGAGCUUGCUCCAUGAUUCAGCGGCGGACGGGUGAGUAAUGCCUAUGAAUCUGCCUGGUAGUGGGGGACAACGUUUCGAAAGGAACGCUAAUACCGCAUACGUCCUACGGGAGAAAGCAGGGGACCGUCGGGCCUUGCGCUAUCAGAUGAGCCUAGGUCGGAUUAGCUAGUAGGUGGGGUAAUGGCUCACCUAGGCGACGAUCCGGAACUGGUCUGAGAGGAUGGUCAGUCACACUGGAACGGAGACACGGUCCAGACUCCUACGGGAGGCAGCAGUGGGGAAUAUUGGACAAUGGGCGAAAGCCUGAUCCAGCCAUGCCGCGUGUGUGAAGAAGGUCUUCGGAUUGUAAAGCACUUUAAGUUGGGAGGAAGGGCAGUAAGUUAAUACCUUGCUGUUUUGACGUUACCAACAGAAUAAGCACCGGCUAACUUCGUGCCAGCAGCCGCCGUAAAAC